GGCUGAAACUCGCCUACAUGAAGCUGGAGUUACUAGUAAUCGCAGAUCAGAAUGCUGCGGUGAAUGCGUUCCCGGGUCUUGUACACACCGCCCGUCACACCACGGAAGUUGGGGGCGCCCGAAGCCACUUAGCUAACCCUUUUGGGAAGCGAGUGUCGAAGGUGAAAUCAAUAACUGGGGUGAAGUCGUAACAAGGUACC
rnacentral:rRNA from 1 species